rnacentral:rRNA from 1 species
UACGGAGGAUGCGAGCGUUAUCCGGAUUUAUUGGGCGUAAAGCGAGCGCAGGCGGUUGCUUAGGUCUGAUGUGAAAGCCUUCGGCUUAACCGAAGAAGUGCAUCGGAAACCGGGCGACUUGAGUGCAGAAGAGGACAGUGGAACUCCAUGUGUAGCGGUGGAAUGCAUAGAUAUCGCGCAGAACCCCGAUUGCGAAGGCAGCGUGCCGUGCCGCCACUGACGCUGAGGCACGAAAGCGUGGGUAUCGAACAGG